GACAUCAACAGAGACUCCGCUAGUAGUGGCGAGCGAACGCGGACGAGGCCAGUGGCUGCAUUUUAAGAACCGGAACCUGUCAGGAAAGCAGGGCCUCAGAGGGUGAUAGCCCCGUACGGGUAGAAAGAGAUGCAGUCCUUGAGUAAGGCGGGACACGAGAAAUCCUGUCUGAACAUGGGGGGACCACCCUCCAAGCCUAAGUACUCCUCGACGACCGAUAGCGAACAAGUACCGUGAGGGAAAGGUGAAAAGCACCCCGACGAGGGGAGUGAAACAGUUCCUGAAACCGGAUGCCUACAAACAGUCGGAGCCCGCAAGGGUGACGGCGUACCUUUUGUAUAAUGGGUCAGCGACUUAAUUUAACGAGCAAGCUUAAGCCGAUAGGUGUAGGCGCAGCGAAAGCGAGUCCGAAUAGGGCGUCAAGUUCGUUGGAUUAGACCCGAAACCGGGUGAUCUAGCCAUGAGCAGGCUGAAGGCAAGGUAACACUUGCUGGAGGGCCGAACCGUUGAAUGUUGCAAAAUUCUCGGAUGACUUGUGGCUAGGGGUGAAAGGCCAAUCAAACUCGGUAAUAGCUGGUUCUCCGCGAAAUCUAUUUAGGUAGAGCGUCGGA
rnacentral:ncRNA from 1 species